GAUCAUAUCACGUUGAAACACCGGUUCUUGUAUGAUCACCGAAGCUAAGCAACAUUGUUCCUGGUCAGUACCUCGAUGAGUGACCACUUUAUAAGAUCAUGUGUUGUAA